CAGGGUGACAGGUGGUGCAUGGUUGUCGUCAGCUCGUGUCGUGAGAUGUUGGGUUAAGUCCCGCAACGAGCGCAACCCUCGACCUUAGUUGCCAGCAUUCAGUUGGGCACUCUAAGGUGACUGCCGGCUAAAAGUCGGAGGAAGGUGGGGAUGACGUCAAAUCAUCAUGCCCCUUAUGACCUGGGCUACACACGUGCUACAAUGGGCGGUACAAAGGGUCGCGAACCCGCGAGGGGAGCCAAUCCCAAAAGCCGCUCUCAGUUCGGAUUGCAGGCUGCAACUCGCCUGCAUGAAGCCGGAAUCGCUAGUAAUCGCGGAUCAGCAUGCCGCGGCGAAUACGUUCCCGGGCCUU
rnacentral:rRNA from 1 species